CAGUCGCCGCGGGAAUACGGAGGGUGCGAGCGUUAAUCGGAAUAACUGGGCGUAAAGGGCACGCAGGCGGUUAUUUAAGUGAGGUGUGAAAGCCCCGGGCUUAACCUGGGAAUUGCAUUUCAGACUGGGUAACUAGAGUACUUUAGGGAGGGGUAGAAUUCCACGUGUAGCGGUGAAAUGCGUAGAGAUGUGGAGGAAUACCGAAGGCGAAGGCAGCCCCUUGGGAAUGUACUGACGCUCAUGUGCGAAAGCGUGGGGAGCAAACAGGAUUAGAUACCCCUGUAGUCCCUGUCUCUUAUAA
rnacentral:rRNA from 1 species